CCCCCCGCUACUUUUUAGUAGCCUACCGAAGCGCUAACAACUUGGAGUUAUUGGGACAUCAAUUAUGAACUUUGUUGAAAGAAACCACAUUUGCAGUGGACCUGGGAUGCGUGGAAUUGCCAAUGGAUGAAGAGAAUCAAAGAAGGCAGACAGAGAGGAUGAAGAGGACUGGAGGCAUACAGCCAGCAGUUCACCCCACUGUGGGAGGGCUUCAUGUGGAGUGAACACACCCCCAGGUCAAGAGUCACCUUCACUCAACACACUCAUUAGCAGUACUGACACAAGUGCUCCGGUAGGGUCACAUAUGCAUACCAAUCUCAUGGCUGAUGUUUUUCACGUGAUGUAUUUGCAUGGCCUGCUGCACUCUGCUCCACUAACAAUGAAAUGUGUUUGUCAGUCUCGGAGGUGGAGCAGCUGCUUACAAACUGCAGUGCUUUCAUCUUCCAUGGAAUGGAGCUCUUUCUUGCCAACAUCCCAACAUCCAAGCUCGGUGCCCUCAACCUUUAUGGAACUGUAUCCAAUACCGACCUUUUUUUUGUUGGUCUGUUUGUUUGGUAUGAGUUUCAAGAACCUUCUUCAGAGGAUGUUGGAAACAUUUUUUAGUUUGAUUUUCUUCUUUUAGUGUCAGCUUUUUCCCUAAAAUACCGACCAAUUUGAAAUCUAUUUCUCAGAUAACAAGCAUGCCCAACUUCUUCAGGCUAGGGUCCUUUUUUCUCAAUUUCCGCCUGACUGAUGUGCCCAAAGUAAACUGCCUGUUGCUCAGGCCCUGAAGCCAGGAUAUGCAUAUAAUUGGUACCAUUGGAAAGAAGACACGUUGACAUUUGUAGAAAUGUUAAAAUAAUGUAGGAGACUAUAACACAAUAGAUAUGGUAGGAGAAAAUCCAAAGAAAAACCAAACUGAUUCUUUUUUUUUGAGAGCCCAUGCUCUGACAUUGGUACUUAUAGGGAAAUAAUUAAAUCUAGCUCCAAGUAUGCAAUUCCUAUGGCUUCCACUGGGUUUAGUUUCUUCCAAAACGAGUAAGAAUAAUGAGUUUUACUACAGAGACACAGACUUGGAAAUUUGUGUGUGCGCGCGCAAUGAAGAGGACACGCACCUGCUAAUAUUGUUUUCCUAUUGAACAUACUUCUUUCCGUAUGAAAUAUUAUAGAUUAAUUACAUUUUAGGGUAUCUGAGGAUUAAAUAGAAACGCAUUUUGACUUGUUGAAACAGUUUAGGGGUAGAUUUUCAGAUUCCUAUCUUGGCAUGUUGAACGAGUGGAUUAUUCAAAUCGAUGACGCCAACUAAACAGACUUUUUGGGAUAUAAAGGAUUUUAUAUUUUUAACAAAACAACACUACAUGUUGUAGCUGGGACCCUUUGGAUGACAAAUCAGAGGAAGAUUUUCAAAAAGUAAGUGAAUAUUUAAUCGCUAUUUGUGAAUUUAUGAAACCUGUGCCGGUGGAAAAAUAUUUUGAUGUGGGGGCCGUCCUCAAACAAUCGCAUGGCAUGCUUUCGCUGUAAUGCCUACUGUAAAUUGGACAGUGCAGUUAGAUUAACAAGAAUUCAAGAUUUCCACCGAUAUAAGACACUUGUAUGUACCUAAAUGUUUAAUAUCCAUAAUUUACAUUAUUAUUUUAUUUGAAUUGCGCGCCCUCCAGUUUCACCUGAAGUUGUCCCGCUAGCGGAACGCCUAGCCUUAAGAAUUUCUGAAGCCCAAGCGCAAAUACCAGAACACAUAAAUAACCUCAGCCUCCCACGUCCUAGCUGCUCAGUCUGAUCAUGUGGGCGUUAGGAAACAAUUUUUAACAUACAUUGACGGAAAGUAUUCAUACCCCUUCCAUAUUUUGUUACGUUACAGCAUUAUUUUAAAAUUCCUUAUAUUAAAAAAAUAUUCAAUCUACACAAAAUACCUCAUAAUGACAAAGUGAAAUGUUUGCAAAUUUCUUAAUAAAAAUCAGAAAUACCUUAUUUACAAAAGUAUGCAGGCCCUUUGCUAUGAGACUCGAAAUUGAGCUUAGGUACAUCCUGUUCCCAUUGAUAAUCCUUGAUGUUUCUACAACUUGAUUGGAGUCCACAUGUGGUAAAUUCAAUUGAUUGGACAUAGAUUUGGAAAGGCACACACCUGUUUAAGGUCCCACUGUUGACAGUGCAUGUCAAAGCAAAAACCAAGCCAUGAGGUCGAAGGAAUUGUCCGUAGAGCUCCGAGACAGUUUUGUGUCAAGGCACAGAUCUGAGGAAGGGUCCCCAAUAACACAAUGGCCUCCAUCAUUCUUAAAUGGAAGAAGUUUUGAACCACCAAGACUCUUUCUAGAGCUGGCCGCCCGGCCAAACUGAGCAAUCGGGGGAGAAGGGCCUUGGUCAGGGAGGUGACCAAGAACCCGAUGGUCACUCUGACAGAGCUCCAGAGUUCCUCUGUGUGGAGAUGGGAAAAUAUUCCAUAAGGACAACCAUCUCUGCAGCACUCCACCCAUCAGGGCUUUAUGGUAGAGUGGCCAGACAGAAGCCACUCCUCAGUAAAAGGCACAUGACAGCCCGCUUGGAGUUUGCCAAAAGGCACCUAAAGACCCUCAGAACAUGAGAAACAAGAUUCUCUGGUCUGAUAAAACUAAGAUUUAACUCUGACCUGAAUGCCAAGCAUCACAUCUGGAGGAAACCUGCACCAUCGCUACGGUGAAGCAUGGUGGUGGCAGCAUCAUGCUGUGGGGAUGUUUUUCAGUGGCAGGAACUGGGAGACUAGUCAGGAUCGAGGUAUAGAAGAACAGAGCAAAGUACAGAGAGAUCCUUGAUGAAAACCUGCUCCAGAGUGCUCAGGACCUCAGGCUGGGGCCAAGGUUUACCUUCCAACAGGACAACGACCCUAAGCACACAGCCAAGACAACACAGGAGUGGCUUUGGAACAAGUCUCUGAAUGUCCUUGAGUGGCCCGGAUUUGAACCGGAUCAAAUAUCUCUUGAGAGACCUGAAAAUACCUGUGUACCGACACUCCCCAUCCAACCUGACAGAGCUCGAGAGGAUCUGCAGAGAAGAAUGGCAGAAACUCCCCAAAUACAUGUGUGCCAAGCUUGUAGUGUCAUACCCAAGAAGACUCAAGGCUGUAAUUGCUGCUAAAGGUGUUUCAAAGUACUAAGUAAAGGGUCUGAAUACUUAUGUAAAUGUGAUAUUUCCGGGGGGUUAUAUAAAUUUGCAACAAUUUCUUAACAACAAUUUUCUUUUUCUUUGACAUUAUGGGGUAUUGUGUAUGCAGUUUGAGGGGAAAAACUAUUUAAUCAAUUUUAGAAUAAGAAUAAAGCUGUAGCGUAACAAAAUGUGAAGAAAGUCAAGGGCUCUGAUUACUUUCUGAAUGCAUUGUAUAUUGGUGUUCACCACAGGGUGGUGGUGAAACAUAAAUGCUCAAUUAGGACUGCUUUCACAGUGCCUUAUACCAUAAACACAUUGAUUGUAUAGAUUUUUGCAAUAAAAAACAAAAACAAAAAAUACAAAGACAAACUAUUCCUUUUUAAAUACUGUCAUUGUUUCCUAAAUAGAUAUUGAACAUCUAACAUAGUGUAAAAUCAGGUGAGCUGGUUCUACUCUUUUGCUAUUUUUAUUUUUUUGUGGCGGUGGAAAACUGAGUGGGUCGAGCAUAACACGUCAACCGUGUUACCCAUAAGACAGGCUACAAAUUAUUUAACAAUUGAUUUAUCUUUUGUGAAGCUUGAAUUCAAUUGCCCCUCUGCACACAACAAGAGGGGAAAGAGAAAAAAAUGGACUUGAAUGGAGAAAAUGAGAGAAAGAGAGAGAGGAUAAAUAUGACUUAGAAGCCAGACACAGGAUCAUUACAGAAACAUUAUCUAUUUGAUUGAGAAGUUGCAAGCAAGGGGACUUAAUACAUUUCUUACAUAAUUGCCUGUGCUGAGUUAGGUAAAAGUAAUAUUGCAAUAUUGCAUCUGGCAGGCACAGAUUAAUUUACUGAACUCACCACUUUGAUGGCUUUGCUUUGAUCUCCCUUCCCCUUGGUUUCCUUCUACCUUUGGUCUUUUUUUUGUUGUCACUUUCAACUGUCACAAACAGGAUGCAGAAUUAAUACAGGAAGCAGUUGUCUGGCAAUUUAAAUUACACAGCAUUUUGACUGAAAUUCAAAUGACUUUACUUUCAGGUUUAUUGCCAAAGCCAAUGACAUUUAGAUUUCAUUGACAAUGUUGAAAGAAUAGAGCAACACUCCGAAACUUUUCCUAUGACCCACUCUUACUGUCUUUACUUCUGUUGUGACCAUUUGCAAACUAGUAAUCUCACAUUGACAGACUACGUAAGCCUUCGUGGGCAGACUAUCCCUCACCAAAUUGCGCAAAGAUUUUAGUUCUGGAUUAACCGAGAUUAGCAAACCAGAUUUGCAAAGCAUUAAACCCUCAAACGUCAGACCGUGUACUAUUACUGUUCAGUAAACAUAUCUCCUGUAAAAAAUAAAAUGCAGAAACAAUAGACAUACACUUAAACAAAAUAAGCAUUGCUUUCCUAAAGGCAGUCUGUUUAUUGUAUGUUCGAAUUCAUCAUGUGCAUGUUUCAUGCAAAGUACUGUGUAGAAUAACAAAUAGCCCUUUCCAAAAGUGUCUUCAGGCACUACAUCUUCUUGACACAAUGGUAAACUAUAGAUGUCAAAUUAUGGUAAUGUUGGUCCUAGGUGUGGAAAAUAAAUGUCAUUUUUUUCCUAAUACUCCACAACUAACCCUGCUUACGGUGACGUGUGUACAUGCGUCACACAGACAGACACACGCGUAGAGACACACACACCAGAUUCCAAAUUCCUUGUUUACGUCUCUGCUCAUUUAAGUCUGUAACCUUUGAGCACCGACUGGUGUUAUGCAAAUUAUUCAACCUUUUUGAUGGUAGAGAAGCUUACGUUGGAAAUUCCAAAAUGUAAAUAUUUUUGCAAUGGUUUAGAAAACGUCAUCCUUGAAAAUAAACUACAUUUGUUGUAUUUUUAAUACUUCACUUAAUUGUAGACAAUUUCAGAGGUUCAAAAUGUUGACUGCAUGUAUGAUGUUUGUUACACUUGUUUUAUAUCCAGACAGGCUGUGAGAUGAAUCUCAAAUGUCUAUGUAGGCUUAUAAAUAAAAGACAAUCAAGUCUUAUCAUCAGAAAUGUUAGGAAACGUUCUCUAGAGAAUGAAUAAUCAAUUUCAAAUGUUGCCCUGUUACUUACCAUAUUAUGUUUUAUUAUUUGAAAAAAUGUGUAUCAAGGUUUAUAUUGUGUAACAAAAAGCUCAAAAUUAAGUACUCUGGUCAAACAUGAAUCUAUGGGGG
rnacentral:lncRNA from 1 species